UUAACUCAUUCUAUUGUAGAAAGUGCAAGAUCUGAACUAAUUAUUAUUGAUCUAAAAUUAUUAUUAUUAUAGAUUUGAAAUUAUUAUCGGCCUUUAUGGUAUAUUGAUUUUGUCGAUCUUUAUGAUUUAAUAUUUCUCAACUUUGAUAGUUCUUUUUGGAAUGGUCAGAGAUGAAUGGUUGGAGCAACUGUUGCAGAACAAUCCAUUGUACAUACAGAACUUCGUCCAUUGCUCGCUUGAUGUGGUUGAUGACUGAGACAAUAACUCGAGAAAUCAGAGACACUGAAUACGAAACGGUUAAAAGAUACUGAAUACGAAAUGGUUAAAAGACAAAUUGAAGAUAUUAAUGGAACUGUCAUGACAUAAGCAAAAUUUUCUUAAGCAGCUGAUGGUUCUUACACUCGCUGAGACGUGAAUGUUAUGGAAUCUCAGAAAUCUGGUUCGGGAAAUGCUCAAUCUACAGAAAGGGAAAUCAUGGCUUCAAGGAGGCUAGAAGCUGAUCGUUUCUUCACGACAAACUUUAAUGCGAAAACAUACACAAAGGCUUCAAUCUGAGAGGGUAGAAAGGAUUAAGCAAAUAAAGGAGGCCACAAUUUGUUAAAGGGAAUAUGCAUGUUUUCUCUGUGGAUCAGCAGCGCUGUCAGGGUCUUGGACUAAGUCUUAUCACUACUACUCAAUUAUGGCUUACGACUGCUGCUGGAGUGUUUUAAGCAUGUUGCAUAUCAGAUGCAAUUUGAACUCAGAUAUUGUUAUUUAAACACAGUUCUUUACAGAUGUUCUUUACAAAUGCAAUUUGUUUGGAUUUGGUGCAAAGUAGUAUGAGCAGA